rnacentral:rRNA from 1 species
GAUCCUGGCUCAGAACGAACGCUGGCGGCAUGCUUAACACAUGCAAGUCGAACGGGCCCUUUCGGGGGUCAGUGGCGCACGGGUGAGUAACGCGUGGGAACCUGUCAUGGAGUGGGGAACAACCGCUGGAAACGGCGGCUAAUACCGCAUGAGCCCUGAGGGGCAAAGGCCGCAAGGCCGCUUUGUGAGGGGCCCGCGUCCGAUUAGCUAGUUGGUGGGGUAAUGGCCUACCAAGGCUGCGAUCGGUAGCUGGU